UCCCGUUGAUCCUGCGGGAGGUUGCUGCUAUUAGAGUUCGAUUAAGCCAUGCAAGUCAGGUAACCUUGUGUUGCCGGCAUACUGCUCAGUAACACGUCGUUAAUCUAACCUUAGAUCUAGGAUAACCUUGGGAAACUGAGACUAAGACUGGAUAGGGGAUUAUUUCUGGAAAGAAUUUUCCUUUAAAGGUAACGUCUAAGGAUGAGACGGCGGCGGAUUAGGUUGUUGGUGGUGUAAUGGACCACCAAGCCAACGAUCCGUAGGGGCCUUGAAAGAGGUAGCCUCGAGAAGGGCACUGAGAUACUGGCCCUAGCCCCACGGGGUGCAGCAGGCGCGAAACCUUUACACUGCACGAAAGUGUGAUAAGGGAACUCUAAGUGCUUACCUUAUGGUAGGCUUUUGCCAAAAUUAAAGCCUUUGGCGAAUAAGUGGUGGGAAAGACGGGUGCCAGCCGCCGCGGUAACACCUGCGCCACGAGUGGGAACCAUUUUUAUUGGGCCUAAAGCGUCCGCAGCCGAUCCAGCAAAUCUUCUGUGAAACUGUUAUGCUUAACAUAACAACGUGCAGGAGACACUACUUGGAAUUGGAACUGGAAGGAGUCAGAAGUAUUUCUGGGGGAGCGGUAAAAUGUUAUAAUCUCAGAAGGACUACCUGUGGCGAAAGCGUCUGACUAGUACAGAUUCGACGGUGAGGGACGAAAGCCAGGGGAGCAAUCCGGAUUAGAUACCCGAGUAGUCCUGGCCAUAAACGCUGCGAGCUAGGUGUUACAUAUUCUCCGUGAAUGUGUAGUGUCGUAAUGAAGAUGUUAAGCUCGCCGCCUGGGAAGUAUAGUCGCAAGACCGAAACUUAAAGGAAUUGGCGGGGGAGCACUACAAGGGGUGCGGCGUGCGGUUUAAUCUAAUUCAACGCAGAGAACCUCACCAGAAGCGACGGCAGGAUGAAAGUCAGUCUAAAGGGCUUACUUGACGAGCCGAGAGGUAGCGCAUGGCCGCCGUCAGCUCAUGCUGUAAAGUGUCCUGUUAAGUCAGGCAACGAGCGAGACCUGUACCUACAAUUGCUAACAACUAAUUUUAGGAUUGAGCACAUUGUAGGGACUGCCCUCGAAAGGGGGAAGAAGGUGCAGGCUACGGUAGGUCUGUAUGCUCCGAAUCUUCUGGGCUACACGCGCGCAACAAUGGUAAGGACAAUGGGAUGCAACUCCGAAAGGAGGAGCUAAUCCUCGAAACCUUAUCCUAGUUCAGAUCGAGGUUUGCAACUCAACCUCGUGACGCUGGAAUCCCUAGUAAUCAGACGUCAUCAUCGUCUGGUGAAUAUGUCCCUGCUCCUUGCACACACCGCCCGUCAAACCACCUGAGUAGGGUUUAGAUGAGGGCUUAUUUUCAAUAAGUUCGAAUCUGAGCUUUGCGAGGAGGGUUAAGUCGUCACAAGGUA
rnacentral:rRNA from 1 species